UAUUGGACAAUGGGGGCAACCCUGAUCCAGCCAUGCCGCGUGUGUGAAGAAGGUCUUCGGAUUGUAAAGCACUUUAAGUUGGGGGGAAGGGCGUUAGGUUAAUACCCUGAAGUUUUGACGUUACCAACAGAAUAAGCACCGGCUAAAUCUGUGCCACCCGCCUCGGUAAAACAGAGGGUGCAAGCGUUAAUCGGAAUUAUGUGGCGUAAAGCGCGCGUAGGUGGUUCAGUAAGAUGGGUGUGAACUCCCCGGGCUUAACCUGGGAACUGCUUUCAUAACUGCUGAGCUAGAGUACGGUAGAGGGUAGUGGAAUUUCCUGUGUAGCGGUGAAAUGCGUAGAUAUAGGAAGGAACACCAGUGGCGAAGGCGACUACCUGGACUGAUACUGACACUGAGGUGCGAAAGCGUGGGGAGCAAAC
rnacentral:rRNA from 1 species